rnacentral:sRNA from 1 species
GGCGGGUGAGCGAGGAGCCAGUGCUGUCCUCUUUGACAUCACUGAGGAUCGAGCUGCUGCUGAGCAGCUGCAGCAGCCGCUGGGGCUGACCUGGCCAGUGGUGUUGAUCUGGGGUAAUGACGCUGAGAAGCUGAUGGAGUUUGUGUACAAGAACCAAAAGGCCCAUGUGAGGAUUGAGCUGAAGGAGCCCCCGGCCUGGGUAAGCACACUAGACCUCCAGACCUUGCCCUGCACUUAGCCCUACUUUGUCCUGUGGCAACUCCCACCAAAAGCCCUUAGACUCCUGGAGCUGAGAGAGAUCCUGGAAACCCUCUAGUCCAACUU